AGUGAACGCUGGCGGCGUGCUUAACACAUGCAAGUCGAACGAGAACGGAUUAUAGCUUGCUAUAAUUGUCAGCUAAGUGGCGCACGGGUGAGUAAUGUAUAGGUAAUAUGCCUCUUACUAAGGGAUAACAAAUGGAAACGUUUGCUAAUACCUUAUACUCCUUAUUAACAGAAGUUAAUAAGGGAAAGAUUUAUUGGUAAGAGAUUAGCCUGUAUUGUAUCAGUUAGUUGGUGGGGUAAUGGCUUACCAAGACUAUGACACAUAACUAGUUUGGGAGGAUGAUCAGUCACACUGGAACCGAGACACGGUCCAGACUCCUACGGGAGGCAGCAGUGGGGAAUAUUGCACAAUGGACGAAAGUCUGAUGCAGCAACGCCGCGUGGAGGAUGACACAUUUCGGUGCGUAAACUCCUUUUAUAUGAGAAGAUAAUGACGGUAUUAUAUGAAUAAGCACCGGCUAACUCCGUGCCAGCCGCCGCAGUAACAC
rnacentral:rRNA from 1 species